rnacentral:piRNA from 1 species
UGUCACCAGUUAUCUUAAUCUUUGACCC